GACGAACGCUGGCGGCGUGCUUAACACAUGCAAGUCGAACGGAAAGGCCCUGCUUUUGUGGGGUGCUCGAGUGGCGAACGGGUGAGUAACACGUGAGUAACCUGCCCUUGACUUUGGGAUAACUUCAGGAAACUGGGGCUAAUACCGGAUAGGAGCUCCUGCUGCAUGGUGGGGGUUGGAAAGUUUCGGCGGUUGGGGAUGGACGCGCGGCUUAUCAGCUUGUUGGUGGGGUAGUGGCUUACCAAGGCUUUGACGGGUAGCCGGCCUGAGAGGGUGACCGGCCACCUUGGGACUGCGAUACGGCCCAGACUCCUACGGGAGGCAGCAGUGGGGAAUAUUGCACAAUGGGCGGAAGCCUGAUGCAGCAACGCCGCGUGCGGGAUGCCGGCCUUCGGGUUGUAAACCGCUUUCGCCUGUGACGAAGCGUGAGUGACGGUAAUGGGUAAAGAAGCACCGGCUAACUACGUG
rnacentral:rRNA from 1 species